AAAAAAUGCUCCAGUCAAGCUUGUACAGGGGGAGACUACAACCAAGUCUGCAUCUGCCUCUCUAGGACCCAUGAAAUCAGUGCCAUCUCCUGCAUCAGCUGGUAAUAGCUUAAAAGAAGGACACACCCGUAAUAUUGGUGUAAGUGGUGCCUCUGAAAUUCCUAACUUAUCUUUGAGGGAGGAGAAAAGCAGCAGUUCUAGUCAG
rnacentral:misc_RNA from 1 species